rnacentral:rRNA from 1 species
GACGAACGCUGGCGGCGUGCUUAACACAUGCAAGUCGAACGCUGAAGCUCAGCUUUUGUUGGGUGGAUGAGUGGCGAACGGGUGAGUAACACGUGAGUAACCUGCCUCCUUCUUUGGGAUAACGCCCGGAAACGGGUGCUAAUACUGGAUAUUCACUGGUCUUCGCAUGGGGGUUGGUGGAAAGGGUUUUUCUGGUGGGGGAUGGGCUCGCGGCCUAUCAGCUUGUUGGUGGGGUGAUGGCCUACCAAGGCUUUGACGGGUAGCCGGCCUGAGAGGGUGACCGGUCACAUUGGGACUGAGAUACGGCCCAGACUACUACGGGAGGCAGCAGUGGGGAAUAUUGCACAAUGGGCGCAAGCCUGAUGCAGCGACGCCGCGUGAGGGAUGGAGGCCUUCGGGUUGUGAACCUCUUUCGCUAAUGGUCAAGCCGCAACAAUGGUUGUGGUGAGGGUAGUGAGUAAAGAAGCGCCGGCUAACUACGUG